GAUGAAGAACGCAGCGAAAUGCGAUAAGUAAUGUGAAUUGCAGAAUUCAGUGAAUCAUCGAAUCUUUGAACGCACAUUGCGCCCGCUAGUAUUCUGGCGGGCAUGCCUGUUCGAGCGUCAUUUCAACUAUCAAGCCCCAGGCUUGUAUUGGAGCCCUGCGGCUGCCGCAGCCUCCCAAAAUCAGUGGCGGGCUCGCUAUCACACCGAGUGCAGUAGUUUACUCUCGCUUAGGUUCGUAUAGCGGGUGCUAGCCGUGAAACCCCCCACUUCUCAAGGUUGACCUCGGAUCAGGUAGGAAUACCCGCUGAACUUAAGCAUAUCAAUAAGCGGAGGA
rnacentral:misc_RNA from 1 species